rnacentral:piRNA from 1 species
UAAUAAAUCUUUUGGACCAGU